UACGUAGGGUGCGAGCGUUGUCCGGAAUUAUUGGGCGUAAAGGGCUCGUAGGCGGUUUGUCGCGUCGGGAGUGAAAACCUCGGGCUUAACUCGGGGCUUGCUUUCGAUACGGGCAGACUGGAGGUAUGCAGGGGAGAACGGAAUUCCUGGUGUAGCGGUGAAAUGCGCAGAUAUCAGGAGGAACACCGGUGGCGAAGGCGGUUCUCUGGGCAUGACCUGACGCUGAGGAGCGGAAGUGUGGGGAGCGAACAGG
rnacentral:rRNA from 1 species